GCCAUUACCGUCUAGAAGCCGGUAAGGCUUUGACUGUUAGAAGGACAGUUAAUAUGGUUGGAUGAUUUCAGUUUAGAACUGCAAAUCCAUACCAAUGAAACGACUUCCCACCCCCUUCUCCCCCAGCCCCUGGAAACCACCACUCUGCUGUCUGUUUCUAUGAAUUUGACUACACUCAGAUUCAAACACUUUGCAGAGACCAGAAGCCCAAAUCAAGGUGUCUCCAGGACAUGCUCUCUCUGCAGACUCUAAGGGAAGGUCCUUCCUUGCUUCUUUCUAACUCCUGGUGGAUCUGCCGGCAAUCCUCGGUACUCCUUGGCUUGAAGACACCGCACUACGGUCUCUGCCUCCGUCAUGACAUCGUCUUGGCUCAGUGCGCUCUUGUCCAAAUUCCCUUCUUGUAAGGACACCAGUCAUUGGAUUAAGGCCUACCCUCCUCUAGAAAGACCUCACUUUAAUAUGACUAAUCAUCUCUGCAAAUACCUUACUUCCAAAUAAGGUCACCUUCUGAGGUUGUGGGUGAAUAUGCAUUUGGGGGGACACUAUUCAACCUAGUACAAAUGUCCAUAAGUCAUUAUUAAUUAUGUCUCAUUUUUAGGCUUUUUAACGUGCUUACGACCACAGGAGUAAUAAACAAAGAAUUCCUUUCUCUAGGUAAUAAACUCAG
ensembl:lncRNA